rnacentral:rRNA from 1 species
GCGUGCGGGAAGAAGGCCUUCGGGUUGUAAACCGCUUUUGUCAGGGAAGAAACGCUUCGGGCUAAUACCUCGGAGUAAUGACGGUACCUGAAGAAUAAGCACCGGCUAACUACGUGCCAGCAGCCGCGGUAAUACGUAGGGUGCGAGCGUUAAUCGGAAUUACUGGGCGUAAAGCGUGCGCAGGCGGCCAUGCAAGACAGAUGUGAAAUCCCCGGGCUUAACCUGGGAACCGCAUUUGUGACUGCAUGGCUCGAGUGUGGCAGAGGGGGAUGGAAUUCCGCGUGUAGCAGUGAAAUGCGU